rnacentral:lncRNA from 1 species
UAGAACUGUAAACAGCCUAGAACAGGGAUGUCUAUCUUGUUGGCAUUUGCUGUUUUAUAGGAAAACUGCAGUCUCACAAAGAUACAGUUCAGUGAGCCAAUUAAGGCUUGCCUGUUAAAAUUAUGCAAAAUAUAUGGCAGUAACUAUAAAAGCUGUUAUUAAUUCAAAGCAUAGACCAUGAAAUCCAGGUUUCAGUGCUUACAAAGAAAAAAAAAAAUGGAUCAAACAUCUUGGUAACACUCAUGUGUUUCCAUUUCAUUUUCACAUUGUCUCUAGCCAGUGCUGUUUUGGGUGUCAAAUUACAGUCUUGAUGGAGAAUAUUUGUGGAAAAUAUCCAUUCUGCCCAGAUGUUUAUGUCCCCUCCUCCUCCAGAAUUCAUAUGCUGAAAUAUUAACCCCCAGCGGUGAGGGAAUUCAGACAUGGGGCCUUGGGGAGGUAACGAGGUCGUAGGGUAGAGUCCUCAAGGAGUGACCCCACUGACCUCCCUGGCCCCUUCCGGCAUGCGAGGACAUAGCAAGAAGGCUCCAGCCAUGUACCAGGGAAGGGCCGUGCUGCUGCCUUGAUCUUGCACUUCCCAGCCUCAAGAACCUUACCUUGAGCAGUAAAUUCUUAUUGUUUAUAAGCUAUCCAGUCUGUAGUGUUUUGUUAUAUUAACCCUAACAGACAAUAUCAAAUGGGCUGGAUUUAAUCAUAUAACCUCCCUCUUGUCGGCUUCUAGGAAAUGAAUUGAUUUAGUCAGACUUUGCUGAUACCAAACGCCUUGGCAUGACUUAUUGGCUCAUGGCUGAUCCCAGGAGAAGACUGAGUGCCUACAAAUGAACUGCAUGAUCAACCUCUGCGACCACAUCAAGGCGACGAUGUCAACCAAACCUCCCAUUGGCCUGUCUGCCCUAAAGCAACAGAUUUUGUCUUCUGGUGAUGAUUUGAUGAAGCCCGGGUCAUCCUUGCAGGGAGGAAGUGAAAAAGAGGUUCAGAUGGCACUUUUUGGGCAGCAACUAUAUUUCUGUGGCUCAUUUCUUUUAACACAAAAAGAUCAUGGGUGAUAGAUACGUCAAAGCUUCUUAGACACAUGUCCUAUUUCAUGUGUGUUUUGCAGUGCUCAAAAAUAAAAUAAAGUGAUCUUUUGUAGCUUCCAAGAAAAACUUCCUCUUCUUUUUUGUUUGAUGCACAUCUAAAUCCCAGCAUCAUCUAGGAAAAAGAAGAGGAUGAAGACUUUCAAAAGAUGUGGCUUCCUCACUACCAACGUCAUAUUCCACUCCCACA